ensembl:ncRNA Y59A8B.34 ncRNA
UGUAGUUUGUAGUCUAGCAGACCAAAUUUCUGAGAGUAGGUCUGCUAGACUACAAACUACAAAAUGUAUUUAGCAGACCCAUAUU